CGCCAGACUCCUACGGGAGGCAGCAGUGGGGAAUAUUGGGCAAUGGGCGCAAGCCUGACCCAGCAACGCCGCGUGAAGGAAGAAGGCUUUCGGGUUGUAAACUUCUUUUAAGAGGGAAGAGUAGAAGACGGUACCUCUUGAAUAAGCCACGGCUAACUACGUGCCAGCAGCCGCGGUAAUACGUAGGUGGCAAGCGUUGUCCGGAUUUACUGGGUGUAAAGGGCGUGUAGCCGGGCCGGCAAGUCAGAUGUGAAAACCACGGGCUCAACCUGUGGCCUGCAUUUGAAACUGUAGUUCUUGAGUACUGGAGAGGCAGACGGAAUUCCUAGUGUAGCGGUGAAAUGCGUAGAUAUUAGGAGGAACACCAGUGGCGAAGGCGGUCUGCUGGACAGCAACUGACGCUGAGGCGCGAAAGCGUGGGGAGCAAACAGGAUUAGAUACCCGGGUAU
rnacentral:rRNA from 1 species